GUUAUCACCUUGAUUACUUUGCUUUAGCAUUUUAUUUGCGUUUCCUUUUUUAUCGUGAUUUCGACAGUCAAUAAUACAAUAUUAUUAUGACUGUGUGCAUCGCCUAAUUUCGCCAAAAUAAUAAUUCGUUUUCCUGUCCGUGUCGUGCUUACUUUUGUUACUUGUUGCGUUUUUGUAGAUAGAUUGCAAUUGAAUAAAAUAUUACGAGCGCGUUGUCCGUGAAUUCGUAAUUCAUUGAGAAAUAAGCUAAAACGAACCAAAAAUGGAUACAGAUAAAUACAUUACGAUUGUUCCUGUUGAGUAUCCUCGAAACAGGCAACAGUUCAUACGACCUCCCGAUGAAUAUAGUGACUUUCCUCAAAACCGGAAUUGGCCCCAUACUAGAGCAGUAAGGACCGAAUCAAGUACUAUGCGAAGGAAAGAACUGAAACGAUCAUUGGAACACAAAAGAUCUCAUAAUCAUUCUCGUAAUGAUCCAAUACAGUCGUGUUCCAAGCCAAUAAUAAGUGCUCCACUAGCAUUUCAAACCGCUCCAAAGCCUGUAAAGAAACCACUUAGUGUGUAUAUUUACACAAUGGCUGAUAUAGUCUUACAUAUGGAUAUAGAAGAUGCAAACACAACUACAGUUUCAGAUCUUGUUGAUAUUAUAAUACAGCAAAACAAUUUGGGAUUAUCAAGAAUUGCUAAGAAUAUUUUUACAAUUUGGAUGAAAUCAAACGUUUUAGAAAUUCAGUUAAAACCACAUCACAAAUUAUUGACAGUUUUUCAAAAAUGGCACACACUUGAAGAAAAAUAUUGCAUUCAAGACAAAAAAGUUAUUUUCAAGGAACCCAUUUUGAGUUUUCAAAGAAAUGUUUUUUUUCCUAGAAAAGAUGAAGAAAAAAUUAAGGAUCAAAAAAUUAUUGAGCUACUGUACGCUGAAGCUAAAUAUAAUGUAUUACAAGGUCGGUAUCCUGUUGAAGUAAACCACUGUUUGAUGUUAGCUAGUUUGCAGUGCCGAAUAGAAUUAGGUCCAAACAAUUUACAACAGUACACCUCAAGUUUUUUUAGAGAUAACCGGGAAAAAUUUUUACCAUCCCAUCUAUACAAAAGUUGGUCUUCAUGGUUAAAUCUUGAUAGAAAAAGUACACCUCAUUCUCGGCUUGCAGACCAUUUAAAACAUAUACAGAUAACUGGAUCUGAUCGUAGACUUUACCACAAAUAUUUGGAGUGCUGUUACAUGCUACCGUUUUAUGGGUGUGCUUUUUUCCAUGGUCAAAUUGAACAACCUGUUCGAGGUUUGAUGUCUUUAAUUAACCAUAAAGAUGUUCCUAUUUACAUCGCAGUCAACACUGAAGGAGUUUAUAUCUUGGACACUGUGGAAAAUAGUUUAUUGUUGGGCCUUAAGUAUCAAGAUUUUUCUUGGGAAUUUGCUAAGCCAUCUCAAGAAGAUAAUGAUCAUUGUUUACCUUGUAUAUUUUUACAGUUUUUAGUAUUAGAAAAUGGAACAAGAGUUUCAAAAAUUUUACAAGUGUUUUCUAAACAAGCUGUCAUGAUAGAUGCACUAAUUGCGUGUUUUGUUGAAGAUUUUAGACACAAAUUAGCUAUGAACGAAUAUGACGAUGUAGAUAGAACUGGCGGCUUUGAACACAUUUCUGUUGGAGAUGGAUCUCAAAUACCUUUGGCACAUUUGUUCCGCAGUGAACCACAAUCUCGAUUGUGUAAUAAACUAAAUAAGUUGACAUUGGCUACAUUUGAUGAAGAUGGUAUGUUGGUUUAUAAUAAUCAUUCAUAUUAAACAGAUUAUCUUUUUAUAGUUUGUUUGCAUGUAUUCAUCAUUUAGAAAGUUGUUUAUACUAUAGUUAAUAUUGAUCACACACAAUUAUGCAUGGUUUGUAGACUAUUUAUAAAUUUAAUCUACGGCGAUGAACUAAAGUCAUUGUAUUGGACAAAUGGGAUCUUGGUCAUUCAGCUACUAAGUGGAUACUUAAUACAAUAUAUACUUUAAUUUUUUUUCUAUUGAUCUCUAUACUGCCAUCCUUUUGUUGAAAUCAAAUUUCUUCUACUUCUUAUCAUUGGAUACUUACUAUUGUAUCAAUAUAAAAUGUGUGUGAUAACCUUUACCUAGUCAAUUUUAGUUACUUAUGUUUUAUUUGAAUUUAAAUUAAGUUUUAAAGAGUUUUUAAGUAGGUUUAUAUAUUUUAAUGUAGUUACCACCAAUUGUAAUAAAUUAUUAAAGAUUCAACAACAAACAUUUACAUGCGUUUGUUAUGGGCAACUCAUUAAAACAUUAUUUUUCCAGGGCAGAGUAAUGCAUUUCUCAGUCAAUAUAUACUUUGUCUUUAGUAAAUAGGGCAUGCAAAUUUUAACUACAAAAAAAAAAAUAAAAAUGGCCAUUCAAUUAAAUUACCAACUUUAAAGAGAUACAAUGUUUUUGUCAAUGUAGUACUCACUGAUUUAUAUAGCUAGCAUUCUUUUAUUAAGUAAUAAAAUAGAAUUAUACUCUAUUAAACACAAGAAAUAACUUGGGAGGCUCACUUGUGCAUAUGACAUUGUUUUGUGCAUUGAUUGUUAAUGGUUGAUUGUAAGGAAAACAGUUGCUUGUGGCCUGCACAUCACUGAUAAAGCCAGUUGCCAACCAGGUCGCUCCUUAUAUUGAAUAGUGUGCAAUACUAGGGCUCAGAAGUCGAUGAACUUAAAAACAUUAAAAAUUGCCCUAAUAAAAUCUAAAUAAGACAUAAAAAGUACAAAAUAGGAGAGCAUCAUCUAAAAAGUUCGAGAUAUUUCAUCUUAAAAGUUAAUAUGAUCACUUAUAAAUAUGGCUCAAAUUUAUAUGUAUUUAUUUAACCAAAGUAUGCAUUUAUACAACAAAAAUAUGCACAUUAACAUGCGCUAAAAAUUCAUGAUAUGUAUUAGCAAAAAAAAAAAAAUGUAUCCAACUACCUAAUUAUUUUGAUUACAAUUAAUAAUAACAUGCAUAUUUAAAUUUUUGAAUUUGAUUUAAUAAUGGGCAACUUGAUUUUAAUUUUUAGAAUAUUGUUACUAUUAUAUAUUUUGUAAUUUUAGGUAUUUUUGAAUUAAGUUAUCAUUCAUUUUUUGUAGUAUCACAGCCUUGACGAGGACUGCUGAGCAUUGCUACCACCAAAAUAUUAUUUAUUACAAUUACAAUCAUACAUAAAAUAUGUGUAAUACUACUACUUAUGCUGUGCGUUUAUGAACAAUAUUAUGUUCAAAUUAAAUUAAAAUGGUAUAUAUAUACAUAUAAAAAUGUAAAUAUUACAUAGUUAACUAAAACUAAGUAUUAAAUAAAUCAAAAAUAACCAUAGUAGUUAUAAUUCUAUAUAUUCUGAGCAAUGCCUAAUUUUUCUUACAUUUCCUAUAAGAUUGGGCAGUACUAUAAUAGCCCAGGAAAUGAAGACAUUGCUC